ACUGGGGUGGCAGAGCAUGGUAAAUUUGCGAAAGGCCUAAGCCCUUUAAACCGGAGGUUCAAAUCCUCUCCCCAGUU
rnacentral:tRNA from 1 species